GACGAACGCUGGCGGCGUGCUUAACACAUGCAAGUCGAACGGAAAGCCCAGGAUUUUGCGGGUCCUCGAGUGGCGAACGGGGGGUGAACAACGGGGGGAUCUGCCACUUACUUUGGGGUAACAUCAGGAAACAGGGGGUAAUAACGGAUGAGAGUCUCUUCUGCCGGGUGGUGGUUUGGAAAUUUCGGCGGUUUGGGAUGGUUUUGGGGGGAUCCAGGUUGGUGGUGGUGUAGGGGCUUACCACGGCUUUGACGGGUAGCCGGCCUUAGAGGGUGACCGGGCACAAUGGGACUGAGAUACGGCCCAGACUCCUACGGGAGGCAGCAGUGGGGAAUAUUGCGGAGUGGGCGGAAGCCUGAUACAGCAACGCCGCGUGCGGGAUGACCGCCUUCGGGUUGUAAACCGUUUUCGCCUGUGACGAAGCGUGAGUGACGGUAAUGGGUAAAGAAGCACCGGCUAACUACGUG
rnacentral:rRNA from 1 species